GCAGGGUUUACGCUUUGUUAUUGUUUCUUAAAGGAGCAGUAAUGUGCUAGCGUAAAACGUGUUUGAAAUGAAGGAGUAAGAAGAGACAGAAUACCAGAAAUGCGGAUUUGAGUGACUUCAAAAUGUCAAAGUAGCAUAGGCUUCAGAUAAGCAUACCUACUGUAUGUAAGGGCAAUUUAAUUACAGUAGCGUGUUUUAGACUGUCAGAAUGAAUGACAAACUGUCUGGAUGAAUUGACUACAGCUAAGAUCUGACAACCCAAUUACAACCUCACAGCUGCAGUCAUCUGCCCCUCCAUCUGCUGCAGCGACAGAUCUGCCACCCCCAGCAUUUCAGCUGCAGGCACAGCAG
rnacentral:lncRNA from 1 species